GGUUCUUCGGAACCCUAGAGCGGCGCACGGGUGAGUAACGCGUACAUGACCUACCUUUAAGACCGUGAUAGCCCUGGGAAACUGGGAUUAAUAACGGAUGUGAUAAUAGGUAUAAGGAUUUAUUAUUAAAGAUGAGUCGCUUAGAGAUGGGUGUGCGUCUGAUUAGCUAGUUGGUAGGGUAACGGCCUACCAAGGCUACGAUCAGUAGGGGGCGUGAGAGCGUGACCCCCCACACGGGUACUGAGACACGGACCCGACUCCUACGGGAGGCAGCAGUAAGGAAUAUUGGUCAAUGGACGAAAGUCUGAACCAGCCAUCCCGCGUGCAGGAUGACUGCCCUAUGGGUUGUAAACUGCUUUUAGUAGAGAAGAAACGCAGUCAUUUAUGAUUGCCUGACGGUACCUACAGAAUAAGCACCGGCUAACUCCGUGCCAGCAGCCGCGGUAAUACGGAGGGUGCGAGCGUUAUCCGGAAUCACUGGGUUUAAAGGGUGCGUAGGCGGGGAAUUAAGUCAGUGGUGAAAUCUUGUCGCUUAACGAUAAAAUUGCCAUUGAUACUGAUUUUCUUGGAUUGGGUUGAGGUUAGCGGAAUGUGACAUGUAGCGGUGAAAUGCAUAGAUAUGUCAUGGAACACCAAUUGCGAAGGCAGCUAGCUGGGCCUUGAUUGACGCUGAGGCACGAAAGCGUGGGCAGCGAACAGGAUUAGAUACCCUGGUAGUCCACGCCCUAAACGAUGCUAACUCGAUGUUUGGCCGUAAGG
rnacentral:rRNA from 1 species